rnacentral:tRNA from 1 species
GAGGUUGUGGCUCAGUGGUGAAGCGCUCGCCUAGCAUGUGCGAGGCCCUGGGUUCGAUCCACAGCACCACA